GCUUGCUUCAUAUUGUGAAAUGCUGCCUUGUGUCUUCCCCUGCAUCUUAUCUGCUCUAUAUGAUCAUAUACUACACACUGCUGCAACUUUUCGAUGGUGGAGGGAUUGGAUGCUUGUGGAAGGGUACCAAUCAAGUGGGCUGCCUUGUACUGGAUGGUGUCGAGCUUCUUGAGUGUUGAUGGAGCUGCACUCAUCCAGGCGAGUGAUACCCUAACAGAUCUUCCACGUGAAGCAGUGAUUCACCAGUCUAGUGUACGGCAUUCCACUUCCACUCUGCUGUCUUUUUGAUCUCCUGCUCUGCAACGCGACUUAACCCAACUUGACCAACAUCACCUCAUUUUCAGCCUGGGAACUUUGAAGCCUUUUGAAUCCACCCCUACACCCCACCCACCUCUGCAAAUUAAAAACAGCUUGUUUUCUCACAUUAUUUGAUGAAGGGUUUAUGAUCUAAAGCAUUAACUCUGUUUGUCUUUCUGCAGAUGCUGCUAACCUUCCGAGUGCUUCCAGCAUUUUCCAUCUUUAUUUAAAAAUAUUCAGAACUCUGCAUUUAGUCAGACAUUGCCUUUCAGUCAGAUGAGUUUGCAGAAUGUAGAAGUUCCUCAAAAGGUCCUAUAAACUUGUCAAUUCCUGUGAUAACUCCCCACCCAUUUGUGGUGUGCAGUCUAGUUCUUGCUGGUGAUGCAUGGAGCUGGGUUAUUACUGUGAUUGAGCAACAAAUCAAGUACCCACCCCUCCCCAAAACCAUCAAGGCUCCCUAGGGGAUACAAUUAUGUAAAUGACCUAUCCAUCACCUCUAUCACUCUUGAUGUUCUGCACUAACUUUAGUGUGACUAGGUGAACCUUUUGGUCAGACCAUGUAAAGAUGGCAGAACACACAAAAUGCUGGUGGAACAUAGCAGGCCAGGCAGCACCUAUAGGGAGAAGCACUGUCGACGUUUCAGGACCCUUCAUUAGGUCUCGGCCCGAAACGUCGCCAGCGCUUCUCCCUGUAGACGCUGCCUGGCCUGCUGAGUUCCACCAGCAUUUUGAGUGUGUUGCUUGAAUUUCCAGCAUCUGCAGAUUUCCUCGUGUUUGCUUUGGUAGAUAUUCUUUACUACAGUGCAUCAGAGGAUCAGAAAGGGUUUUAUGACAAUCGGUAUCCUGGUCACCAUUAUUAAAGCUAUGUUCUGUUAUUGAAAUUUUUUACCUGCCGUGGAAGGAUUUGAACUUGCAUCUCUGGAUUGACAGUUACGUUCUAUGAACUAAAAACAGAAAAUUCUGGGACUACUCCAGCAAGUCAGUAAGCAUCUUUGGAUAAAGAAACAAAAUUACUGUUUCAGAUCAUAGAACCUUCACCAGAACAGAUUAUUAGCUGUUAAUUUAACUACCAUACCUAAGUUAUUGAUCAAGUUAUCUAUUUUCCUGAAAAAUAUGAAGAUUUAAAUAUCUUUAUUGUUCAGUUUUGUUUGCACAGAUUAGACACAUCAUGAUUUCCUUUAUAGCUGCAUCCAAAUAUCUAUUCCAAUCCAAUCAUUUGUUUCCCAGCCAAUUUAAAGUGAGAAAAUUUGUCGGUGCUUUGAAGAUGCUCCCUGGUACUUGUAUGUAAAUUUUUUUCCAAAGUGAUGGUAUAAAUGAAUUUUUCUCUCCUUUAUUUUACAAAUCAGUAUGUUCACUUCAAUAACAGAUUUUCAUGACUUUAUAAUUAUUUUCCAGACCAUUUAUCUUCUCAAUUGAUUGUUUUGUUGUCCCAUCCAUUUAAAAUGACUGGAAAGAUAUCGCUUUCAAGUAUUGUUCCUCUUUGAUCUGGAUUAUUUUUGUCGCAUUUUGAGUCUUUGGAUGUGCAGCAGAAUUGGUUAAUGUCAAGGAACAAUAGAACAAUCAAUUAUAAAUGAAAGAAGGUGCACUUCUCAUUAUUCUACAUCUCAAAUAAUAAUUACCUUGUUUCUUCUCGCUAAUCUAUAUCUCAAAAUAUAAUUACUGUUGAUGCUCAUGGUAGCUGUCUUUAAAGAGGAGAGGAGUGCAGAUGUUUUGCUGUAUGAAUUCUGGGAUCCUACUCUACUACAAUUUUCUACAAAGAUACAGCAAUGCAAGUGGAAUGCAGAAGUAGCAGAUCAAAAGCAGCCACAAAACCUCCUGAAACACGGAGGGGAAAUCUCUUCCACCUCCGACCAGCAGGGGAUCUAGAAUCCAUCAGUCCAGCUUUUAAGAAAUAGAUAUCUUCUAGGAAAACUGAAGGAAGAAAAUAAAGAAGAAGAAAGGAAUUGGGGAACCUUUCAAGACUUCAAUAUUUGAAUUUUGGAAGGGCUAAAGCAAGAGGAAAGUAUUCAGUAACUAGCAGGACACUUCGGAGCUUCAGCAUGCAGAGAGAACUUAGCAUGCAAGUCCAUAACUCCCUGAAAGUGGCAACAUGACUGGAUGGUAUGGUAAAGGAGGCACAUGUCAUGCCUGCCUUCAUUGGCUGGCUGGGCUAUUGCACAUACAAGUUGGAAACCCAUGAUGCAGCUGCUAGGCCGUGUUUAGAGUGCUGUACGCAGUUCUGGUUACAUGAAGGACCUGGAGGCUUUGGAAAGGAGGCAGACAAAGUUCUUCAGGGUUUUGCCCUGAAUUAGACGGUGUUGGCUAUAAGGAGAGACUGAAAAAACUUGGAUGUUUUCUCGGGGCUGAAGGAUAAUCUGAUUGAAGUUUAUAAAAUUGUGAGAGGCAGAGAGAGGAUGAAUACUGUCUUUAUACGGGUGGAAAUAUUUAAAACCGGAGAACAUGGGUUUAAAAUGAGAGGAUGGUAGGUUAAAGGAGAUUUGUGCGACAAGAUCUUUCUUUCUCAGGAAAUGGCAGAUGUCUGGAACAGUUGGACAGAGGAGUUGGCAGAAUCAGACAUGAUAACAUAAUUUGAGGUAUUUAGAUUGACAUAGACACAUGGAAGGAUAUGGACCACAUGACAGGAGGCUCAGAUAUGGUAGACUAAAAGCCCCUUUUUGUACACUGCUAUGGUCUAUGUAAGAAGCCACAAAGCAAUUUACAAAGAUACAUUAUAUGUUACCUUAUAACUGCAAUGAAACAUCAAUCCUGAAACAACUAUUUGCUGGCUAGUCAAUUUACUUUUGAAAUGCAAUCAUGUAUGCCUGUGGUAUCUGGUGGGGAAAUGGAUCCAUGUGGAGCAUACCAAGCAAUGGCUGUAAGGAUGGAGGAGUUCAAGAUUGACUUACAAAACUUGGAGACAAAAGCAAAUGUAAGACCAUUAAUGAUGCAGCCAGCCUGUCUUGUGAAGACUGACACCUGCUACCCAAGCCUUUCAGAUGGACAAUUAUUAGGACACUGUAUUUUUUUUACUAGUGUGCAACCCCACAUUACAGGAGAGGUGAGGAGAAGCUUCUGUGAUGUAACUGAAGUGAUUGGUUUUGUACAAACAUACUCCAGUAUGGCAUGGAGGAUGAACUUUUCAGUUAUGUAUUAGAAUGUUCAUGAACUGCUCCAUCCACAAUAUAUGGUGCCCUAUAUUGUAUCUUUUGGUGUACUAACCCAUAAUAACUGCUUGUUGUGAUGGGUAGAAAAAGCAACCUAUCAAUGUUGUAAUUUUCUGUUUAAAUCAUAAUGGAUUUUCAAAAAUUAUCAAUGGUUUAUUGAUAUUAAUUCAACUGAUUCCUUACACACUUAUAUGUCCCAGCCUUUAUUUAACACUAUUAACGAGAUUUAAAAUAUUUAUUAAACAUUGUGCUUUUUCCUUUCUGAGCUGCUGAGUGUGAGAAUUCUUCGAUGUGAUUUGGUGCUUAGCCAGUUUGAUGACAUCGCUGCCAAUGCGCGGCAGGGAUUUCCUUAAACUGACAUCUGGCCAAAAGGUAUCAGGAAAGGAAUAGUUGAUUUUGAGAUCAAUUGGCAAAUACAGUUGAUUUGCCAUAGCCCACAAAACCUGGGCCAUGGCAUUUUGUUUUCAAUAAGAAAGUAUCUCGAGGCACAUCAAAGGAGAAAAUUUGAACUGAAUUUGUUGCUGAGCCAUAUAUAUUGGGCAGGUAACCAAAAUCAUAGCCCAAGAGACAGAUUCCAAAAUUUUUAAUCAAAGGAAAGGUGGGAGUGAGUCUGAGGGACUUAAAGAGGGAUCUGCAGAGAUUACGGACAAAAUAGCUGUGGGAAAAUAAAGGGACGAAUGCUGCACGUUUUGUGUCUGAUUGCUAAAUAGUGAAAAUCAAUUACAAGAAAAUACCGCAAAAGAGUAGUUUGGUGAUCCCAGCAAAUAAAAAGUAGAAAAUCAAUUACCGUGGCACCUAAUCAGCAACUUCUCAUCUUUUAUUGUGGCUGUUUCACAUUCUUAUACCACAGCUUGUUUUAUUAUAAUACUGCCGGUAACAUUAUCUAUCCUGUCUUACAUAAACAUGCUCCUGUGUACCUCACUUUAUGUCAACCUGUCAAUCUCUAGGCCAUGCCACUCUGGGACUUGAGCUUACUGUACAUUGCAACUGCAUGUGCUGGACCAUAACUAAACGUGCUUUGUGUGACUCUUUGUACUGUGUUUUGCACCUUGGCCCCAGACGAAUGAUGUUUCAUUUAGGUGUACACAUGUGUAUGGUUGAAUGACAAUAAACUUGAACUGACCUUGGCUACA